rnacentral:rRNA from 1 species
GAUGAACGCUGGCGGCGUGCCUAAUACAUGCAAGUCGAGCGAAUGGAUUAAGAGCUUGCUCUUAUGAAGUUAGCGGCGGACGGGUGAGUAACACGUGGGUAACCUGCCCAUAAGACUGGGAUAACUACGGGAAACCGGGGCUAAUACCGGAUAACAUUUUGAACCGCAUGGUUCGAAAUUGAAUGGCGGCUUCGGCUGUCACUUAGGGCUGGACCCGCGUCGCAUUAGCUAGUUGGUGAGGUAACGGCUCACCAAGGCAACGAUGCGUAGCCGACCUGGGAGGGUGAGCGGCCACACUGGGACUGAGACACGGCCCAGACUCCUACGGGAGGCAGCAGUAGGGAAUCUUCCGCAAUGGACGAAAGUCUGACGGAGCAACGCCGCGUGAGUGAUGAAGGCUUUCGGGUCGUAAAACUCUGUUGUUAGGGAAGAACAAGUGCUAGUUGAAUAAGCUGGCACCUUGACGGUACCUAACCAGAAAGCCACGGCUAACUACGUGCCAGCCGCCGCGGUAA